rnacentral:tRNA from 1 species
GAAGGUACAGCUCAGUGGUAGAGUGUGUGCUUAGCAAGCAUGAGGUCCUGGGUUCAAUCCCCAGUACCUCUA